ACUACCAUUCCUCGAAAUGUGCCACAUCACAAACACAGACAAAACAGUGAAUAAGCGAACAGACGUAGAUAGACUUAGCACCACAUACGCAGCUGUGUUGCACAGCAUUAAAACUAUACAAGAACGCAACAAACCGAAUGUAGAACGACAAACCGACGAUGAAACGUAGAUUAUUAGGAUAGGGCACUUUUGCUACCAAUGACCGUUCAAUUAUAUGUGGGGGGUUGUUAGAAGUAGAUUUGCGCCAAACGCGUACAGUCCGUUGCAAAACUAGAUAAACCAAAUAAGUCAUGUACCAACAACAACUCGACAAGACAGUUACAGUUAGACGAAACAUAAGACCAAAAACGAAAAAUUAAUUACCCCUGAAGAUGACACAAAACCCCAGUGUCGAAACGUCGGGCAAAUAAUAAACCUCGUUUUCCCAAAUUAAAAGACUGCGUAGCCGUUUAAAUCGUAGAUU